AUGGCAACGGGGAUCAAGAGCUUGCCAUGGUCACUAGUAGUAGUAGGCGCUCUGCUGAUCGCCAUGGUGAGCGCUGGCGACGAGGCCGCGCUGCUUGCUUUCAGAGAGCAGAUCAGCGAGCGCGGCGCGCUGGCCUCGUGGAACAGCAGCGCCGGCUUCUGCAGCUGGGAGGGCGUGACGUGCAGCCACUGGACGCCGAAGCGGGCGGUGGCGCUGCGCUUGGACGGCAGGGCAUUCUACGGAGCGCUCUCCGUAGCCCUCGGGAACCUCACGUUCCUGUGGACGCUCAACCUGAGCUUCAACUGGUUCCAUGGGGAGAUUCCAGCAAGCCUUGGCCGGCUCCGUCGACUGCGGAGACUCGACUUGAGCGACAACUCCUUCUCCGGCACGUUCCCUGUCUGCAAAACCUUGAUCUCGGCCUUAAACAACUCGUGGACUCAACCACGCCAGGGCUCGGCACCCUCCACAACAUGCGGCAGUUCACUGUCGUCAGAAACAACCUCUCUGGUAUGCUUUCCCAAAUUCUCUCUACAACUUGUCAUCUCUGGAAUUACUUAA
rnacentral:rRNA from 1 species